AGAGUUUGAUCCUGGCUCAGGAUGAACGCUGGCGGCGUGCUUAACACAUGCAAGUCGAACGGAGACAAGAGAAAGCUUGCUUUUUCUUAUCUUAGUGGCGGACGGGUGAGUAACGCGUGGGUAACCUACCCUGUACAGGGGGAUAGCAGUUGGAAACGACUGAUAAAACCGCAUAAAACGGCAGUACCGCAUGGUACAACCGUCAAAUAUUCAUAGGUACAGGAUGGGCCCGCGUCUGAUUAGCUAGUUGGUGGGGCAACGGCCUACCAAGGCGACGAUCAGUAGCCGGCCUGAGAGGGUGAACGGCCACAUUGGGACUGAGACACGGCCCAAACUCCUACGGGAGGCAGCAGUGGGGAAUAUUGGACAAUGGGGAAACCCUGAUCCAGCGACGCCGCGUGAGUGAAGAAGUAUUUCGGUAUGUAAAGCUCUAUCAGCAGGGAAGAUGAUGACGGUACCUGACUAAGAAGCACCGGCUAAAUACGUGCC
rnacentral:rRNA from 1 species